rnacentral:rRNA from 1 species
UACAGAGGGUGCAAGCGUUAAUCGGAAUUACUGGGCGUAAAGCGUGCGUAGACGGUUAUUUAAGUCAGGUGUGAAAGCCCCGGGCUCAACCUGGGAAUUGCAUUUGAGACUGAAUAGCUAGGGUGCGGAAGAGGGAAGCGGAAUUUCCGGUGUAGCGGUGAAAUGCGUAGAUAUCGGAAGGAACACCAGUGGCGAAGGCAGCUCGCUGGGACGUUACUGACGCUGAGACGCGAAAGCGUGGGGAGCAAACAGG